UUUCGGUAAAAUUUUAAUAAUGAAAAAGUUUUUACAAGUUUAUUUUCAAUGAAACUUUUUAACAUUACUUAAUAGUAAAAAAUGCUAGCUGAAUAACCACUCAAAAAAAAUAUGGAAAAAAUACACACAAAAUGAAUUCAAUGAUAAGAAUGCUGUCAAACCCAUGAAUCACGGACAAGUGACAACAUACUCGGAGCUGUUGUCCUAGGCCCAAAGUGAGCAUCAAAUAUUCCAAACAUAUAUUCUAAAUAAUUUAUAGUCGCAUUUGAGGCGCUGCACAAGACUGGUAGUUGUACAAUAUUUUUUUUGUUGGCCACCCAGUUGUCGGGGGCAGUCGGACAAUUGAUCGAUGCAUCAGCAAAAUGCGAACGCAAACUCGUCGUCUGUAUGAACGCAUAAAUACUCUUUAACGGGCAGGGCACGAACCCAGAUCGAGAGCCCUUCUGCUGCAGACGGUGGCACUUGCAGUGCCAGUCGAGAAUCGGUAAUCGGGAAUCGGGAGUCGAGCCUAAUUAGGAAUUCCGUGUGCAGUGCGAGUCGCAGGCUUCCAGGAAUACGUGUCAAGUGUUUGGUUUUUUGCCUGCACUUGGUUUGGAUUCAUUUGUCUUUGCUCAAAGAGAGGGGCGACGGGGUGAUGAGGGGAUCACUAGCACGAGUCGUGUGACUCAUGAGCAAAUAUUCUCAUGCCUGGCGUGGUUUCCUGCUUCCUUUGAGGGAGAGAGUGAUGCGGUAGCUACGCAGCAGGUUCGCUGCCUAAGUCUUUUGUUUUUGUUUUUUUUUGUGUGGUGUGUUGCUACGUACCCCUCGUCUAAUAAUUCAAAUUGAGUUAAUUACACUUUUAAAUGCUGGAAAUUAACAUUGCGCCGAUAAGCAUCUCGCUUGUUGCUUGUUUAGCCACAAGCCAACUAAACCUGGCCAUAACUACAACUACGACAGCGACGACAAACGACGUGCCCCAAAAAUUGUGUCCGAGCCCCAAGCCCAAAAGAAACCUCAGCUCAACAAGCUCAUAAAUUUUCAUAAACAUAACAAAAUAAAAUAAAGCUAAGAAGAAAAAAAAAACAUACACACAAAACUAACAUUACACACAUAAAACUAACGAGUGAGUUGAAAUCCAAAGACAAAAUACAUAAUUUUUCUUGAUACAAUAUGUUUUAUUCGCGGGGAACCAAACUAAAGUUCUGUUUAAUUUUUUUUUUUUUGUCUUAGCAACUUGUGCGACUUGUGCUGAUUAUAUAAUGACAAUAAAACAUGCCCAAAAACAACAGCAGAGUUGCCAAAAAACAAUAAGAAAUAAAAGAGCCAGCGAGACGAAAAACAUUUAAAUAUUUUUGCAAGCAAAAACCGAACAAGAUCAUUUGUAUGCGCCACCACAAACGCCAUCGCCAUCGCCAUCGCCAUCGGCAUCGCCAUCGCCAGGUCUGAGCCUGAGCCGCGUGACCACUUUGAAGAAAAGCCGUCAAAAACCGUCGAAAAACCUGGGCGGGGUGUUGACCAUAAAUAUGCGCAGACAUAAAACGCGUUAUAAUAUAUUAAUUAGCCAAUGCCAAUAAGGCAA